rnacentral:rRNA from 1 species
GACGAACGCUGGCGGCGUGCCUAAUACAUGCAAGUCGAGCGCAGGAAACUGACGGAACUCUUCGGAGGGAAGGCAGUGGAAUGAGCGGCGGACGGGUGAGUAACACGUAAGGAACCUGCCUCAAGGAUUGGGAUAACUCCGAGAAAUCGGAGCUAAUACCGGAUAGUUCAUCGGACCGCAUGGUCCGUUGAUGAAAGGCGCUUCGGCGUCACCUUGAGAUGGCCUUGCGGUGCAUUAGCUAGUUGGUGGGGUAACGGCCCACCAAGGCGACGAUGCAUAGCCGGCCUGAGAGGGUGAUCGGCCACACUGGGAGUGAGACACGGCCCAGACUCCUACGGGAGGCAGCAGUAGGGAAUCUUCCACAAUGGACGAAAGUCUGAUGGAGCAACGCCGCGUGAGUGAUGAAGGUUUUCGGAUCGUAAAACUCUGUUGUAAGGGAAGAACACGUACGAGAGGGAAUGCUCGUACCUUGACGGUACCUUACGAGAAAGCCACGGCUAACUACGUGCCAGCCGCCGCGGUAA